rnacentral:rRNA from 1 species
AGAGUUUGAUCCUGGCUCAGAUUGAACGCUGGCGGCAGGCCUAACACAUGCAAGUCGAACGGAUCCUUCGGGAUUAGUGGCGGACGGGUGAGUAACACGUGGGAACGUGCCUUUUGGUUCGGAACAACUCAGGGAAACUUGAGCUAAUACCGGAUAAGCCUUUCGAGGGAAAGAUUUAUCGCCAUUAGAGCGGCCCGCGUCUGAUUAGCUAGUUGGUGAGGUAACGGCUCACCAAGGCGACGAUCAGUAGGGGAUCUGAGAGGAUUAACCCCCACACGGAUACUGAGACACGGAUCCGACUCCUACGGGAGGCAGCAGUAAGGAAUAUUGGACAAUGCCCGCAAGGGUGAUCCAGCCAUGCCGCGUGAGUGAUGAAGGCCUUCGGGUCGUAAAGCUCUUUUACCAGGGAUGAUAAUGACAGUACCUGGAGAAUAAGCUCCGGCUAACUCCGUGCCAGCAGCCGCGGUAAUACGAAGGGGGCUAGCGUUGCUCGGAAUUACUGGGCGUAAAGGGAGCGUAGGCGGAUAGUUUAGUCAGAGGUGAAAGCCCAGGGCUCAACCUUGGAAUUGCCUUUGAUACUGGCUAUCUUGAGUAUGGGAGAGGUUAGCGGAACUCCGAGUGUAGAGGUGAAAUUCGUAGAUAUUCGGAAGAACACCAGUGGCGAAGGCGGCUAACUGGCCCAUUACUGACGCUGAGGCUCGAAAGCGUGGGGAGCAAACAGGAUUAGAUACCCUGGUAGUCCACGCC